rnacentral:rRNA from 1 species
CAAUAGCGUAUAUUAAAGUUGUUGCAGUUAAAAAGCUCGUAGUUGGAUUUCGGGGCAGCCUGGCUGGUCCGCCGCAAGGCGAGUACUGGUCAGCCGCCCUUCCUCUCGAAAGCCCCGACUGCUCUUUAUUGCAGUGGUCGGGUAGUUCGGGACGUUUACUUUGAAAAAAUUAGAGUGUUCAAGGCAGGCCUACGCCUGAAUACAUUAGCAUGGAGUAAUGGAAGAGGACCUCGGUCCUAUUUUGUUGGUUUCCAGGACCGAAGUAAUGAUUAAGAGGGACAGUUGGGGGCAUUCGUAUUUAAUUGUCAGAGGUGAAAUUCUCGGAUUUAUGAAGGACGAACAACUGCGAAAGCAUUUGCCAAGGAUGUUUUCAUUAA